CUGCGCGGCCUACACAUGCAAGUCGAGCGGUAACAGGGGUAGCUUGCUACCCGCUGACGAGCGGCGGACGGGUGAGUAACGCAUAGGAAUUUACCCGGUAGUGGGGGAUAACCUGGGGAAACCCAGGCUAAUACCGCAUACGUCCUACGGGAGAAAGGGGGCUUUGGCUCCCGCUAUCGGAUGAGCCUAUGCCGGAUUAGCUGGUUGGUGAGGUAAUGGCUCACCAAGGCGACGAUCCGUAGCUGGUCUGAGAGGAUGAUCAGCCACAUCGGGACUGAGACACGGCCCGAACUCCUACGGGAGGCAGCAGUGGGGAAUAUUGGACAAUGGGGGCAACCCUGAUCCAGCCAUGCCGCGUGUGUGAAGAAGGCCCUCGGGUUGUAAAGCACUUUCAGCGAGGAAGAACGCCUAUCGGUUAAUACCCGGUAGGAAAGACAUCACUCGCAGAAGAAGCACCGGCUAACUCCGUGCCAGCAGCCGCGGUAAUACGGAGGGUGCAAGCGUUAAUCGGAAUUACUGGGCGUAAAGCGCGCGUAGGUGGCUUGAUAAGCCGGUUGUGAAAGCCCCGGGCUCAACCUGGGAACGGCAUCCGGAACUAUC
rnacentral:rRNA from 1 species